AAUAAGUGCUGCUUUGCACGGUUCAUAUCCAACGUUUGACCAUUCGUCUUAUUUGAAUUUUUUUAUAAUUAGUAUUUUCAAUGUUAUUAGAUGAUAAAACAUGAAUAAUACUUUAUGUGUGACUAUGACGAACGGUCAAACGUUGGAGACCAACGGCUGCACUUAUU
rfam:Oryza nivara chromosome 1, whole genome shotgun sequence.